rnacentral:rRNA from 1 species
GAUGAACGCUGGCGGCGUGCCUAAUACAUGCAAGUCGAGCGAAUGGAUUAAGAGCUUGCUCUUAUGAAGUUAGCGGCGGACGGGUGAGUAACACGUGGGUAACCUGCUCAUAAGACUGGGAUAACUCCGGGAAACCGGGGCUAAUACCGGAUAACAUUUUGAACCGCAUGGUUCGAAAUUGAAAGGCGGCUUCGGCUGUCACUUAUGGAUGGACCCGCGGCGCAUUAGCUAGUUGGUGAGGUAACGGCUAACAAAGGCAACGAUGCGUAGCCGAGCUGUGAGGGGUAACGGCCACGCUGGGACUGAGACACGGCCCAGACUCCUACGGGAGGCAGCAGUAGGGAAUCUUCCGCAAUGGACGAAAGGCGGACGGAGCAACGCCGCGUGAGUAAUAAAUGCUUUCAGGUCGUAAAACUCUGUUGUUAGGGAAGAACAAGUGCUAGUUGAAUAAGCUAGCACCUUGACGGUACCUAACCAGAAAGCCACGGCUAACUACGUGCCAGCAGCCGCCGUAA